ACUCCCUGUAGCAUUGAUAGGUGGGUACCCCCUCCUGUGAGCUGAAGACCUUUGCUUCUGUCCCUCCUGUCCCUUCACCUUCUACGGUCUGGACUGUUCAACUGUCCUGUUUCAUGCUCCCUGCAGACUCAUCGCCUGCAUCCAUUUUUCUCCAAAGCACAUCCAAAGGGCCAGCAGGGAAGACUGACAAACUCCCUCCCCACAAGAUGACCCAGGACCACUUGACAAGGGCGUGGCACCACCCACAGUGGACUUCACUCUCUUGCAUCAAUCAUUGACUGACAAGCUCCCCCACAGACCUGCCUAUAGCUAAUUCCAGCUCAACACAGGCUAGAGUCACCAAGAAGAGGAAAUACAAUCGAGAAAACGCCUCCAUACCCACAGGCCUGUAGGCAAAUCUGUGGGGCAUUUUCUUGAUAACGAUUACUGUGGGUGAUGUCAUCCCUGGGAAGAUGGUCCUGGAUUGUAUAACAAGGCUGGAUGAACAAGCCACGGGGAGAAAGCUAGGACAGCAACCCUCCAUGGCCUCUGCAUCUCCUGCUUGAGUUCCUGCCCUGACAACCAAAUGAAUCUAUUCCCUCUCUGUUUGCUCUUGACUGUGGUCUUUAUUGUGACAACAGAAAGCAAGCUGACAAAAAAAAUCCAUGGCUUAGAAAAUCUUCAUCAGAAUAAGUAAUUUCUUAUCUGCAAUGCCCACUGUAGCAUGACUCACAAUAACUGGUAUGUGGAAUCAAACAAGUGUUCAUCGAAUGAUAAAUAAAGACAAUGAUGUGUAUCCUAGAACCCCGGAGUCUGAGGCAGAAGGAUUCUGAUUCUAAUUAUCAGCCUGGAAAUAAGACCAAGAAUUGAGGUGGGAGAAUGGGAAACCAUGAAGUUUUUAUGUACCCCAAACAGCUCAGCCAUCUUUCCAGCCCCCUUCAGAAAUGUACAUCAAUCCUUUUUUCUAAUUCUUGUAUUAAUCUAAUAUAUAUCUAACAAAACAUUGUUCAGCCUGAGAUGGAAAAUGCUUAAUAUGUGACAACAUGAAUGACCAUAAACAUUUUAGGUGAAAUAGGUAAUGCUCAGGAAACCAGAUAUCACACAAUCAUACCCAUAGUUAGAAUUCAAAAGAUUUAAUUCUUAGACAGGGCAGAUGGUGAGGUGAGAAGCUGGAGAGACGCCAGAGUUCAGUAUUGUAGUGACUAGGAGUAAGUCCCGGGGAUCUAGUGCAGGCCACGGUGAUGGCAGCAGGGCUAGAGAAGGAUGAACAUGUUCAGGGCUCCUCUCAAAACUCAUUAGUGUAGGCAAGAUACCCACUGCCUGAUUCAGCUCAGCCAUUUCUACAACACACACAGACUUCAAAACACCAUUUUACGAAUGGUAAAUACACUUCAUCUGUGAGUUCAAAAACAUUCUGAACGAGACAAGAAUCAGAGAAAGAAAAAAGACAAUGUGACCAAAUGAAACAUAGAAACUGUAAUUAUAUCAUGAGGGACCGUUGGCAACAAUGAAGCUAUAGAAACUAUGCAGACAUCCAGGGUUAGAGACUUGGGUCAAAGGAUCACAGAACAGGGCAAUCUAUGGGAACAAAGUGGACCUGUGGACCUGCAGCUGCAGGAACCAGGGGCAGGGGGCAGGGACAGUGGCUGCUAAUGCAUGCAGGGUUUCCUUGGGGAGUGAUGGAGUUUCUAAAAUUGGCCUGUAGACAGAGUUACACAAUUGCAUGGAUGUAUCAGAGCCAUUGAAUUGCAUACUUUUAAGAAAUGACUGUCAAAUUAGAUGUCAAAGUAGAUGUGGGAGAAACAAUCUUAAAAGACAGAGUUUCAAACUUGCUCUUUUAUUUUAAGGGAAAACUAACUGGAAAGAUUGUAAAAAGUGCAUAGUUUAGGGAGUUAAUGCUGGAAAGACAAGCUGUGUUUCAGCCAAUGCAUCCAUGUGAAUAAAUGAUUUACGUGAAAAUUCUCA